UCUGGCCUCAAAUCAGGUAGGACUACCCCGCUGAACUUAAGCAUAUCA
rnacentral:rRNA from 1 species